rnacentral:lncRNA from 1 species
GUCAACAAUCAAAUCUAGAAAAAGAUGGGGUGAUCAAAAAUCUUCUGGGCAGGUUUUGUCUGCUAUUGCCCAGCAGCUCAGGGAUGAGCAAUGUGGAGAGAAGACACCAACUAAGAGUCAGGAUGUUACUCCUGAUCAAGAGAGAGAAGUUGAAGGAGCAGCUGUGGUUCAAGAGCCUGCCCUGGAAGCUACUCAGCAGGAACUGGCUUAUCCGAAGACUGGGCGUGAGCGUGGAGACGGUCCUGAUGUCAAGGCGAAGGAACUGUCAGAUCCAGAGCCCACUAAUGUGCCAGAAGCAGGGGGUGGACGUCCCCAGGUUUAAACGAAGAUGAGCUGAAAUCUUG